rnacentral:lncRNA from 1 species
UCAUGGUAAACAUUUUGUUAAAAUUUAAUGAAAAUUAAACUAGCCAAAUUAAUGUUAGUGAAGUUGUUUGGUACCACCUUAAUAAACAAGUUUAACAUUUAUUGAAAUGCGAAUGGCAUUAAUUUUAAACACUGCCUUAAUACACUAUACUGUGUGCUUAUAUGAAAUUUGUCUAAUCCUAAAGAUUGGUGAAGAAAAAAAAAUUAUGUCAAUCAAAGAGUUUAUUUUCUUUUCUUAAAAUUGUCAAAUUGUCUCUGGGAAAGUAUUCUCUUAAGUUCUUGAUUUAUUGGGAAAUAUGCUAUUCCAAUAAUACAAAUACAUGUAUGACAAAUUUUGUUGAUGAAAUAAACCUGAAAUAAAUGUUAAAAUAGUGUUCUGAUGAGGAAAACUACAUCAUACAAUGGAAGAUAACUCUGGUCAAAUUUAAUAAUUGUUAUUAUAAGAUGAAUUUAUUCUUGUUUACAAAAAUGAUGAUGGAAGUUUUUAACGACCUUGACUGGCUAUAGAGCUCUUACACAGUUGGUUGACAAAAAUUCUCUUUUCCUCAAACCUUUCUAGCUAUAUAUACAGUGUCCAAAUUUUUAUGUGUUAACAAUUUUUAAAAGAUUUUUAUAGAUUGAAGUGUGACCUCAGAUUUUUGUACAGAUAUAUUCAGAUUUAUGGCAUUUAUGUACAGAUUUUGUAAAUAUUUUUAUGCUGCACUCAUAAUGACACAGGGAGUUUUUAACGACCGUGACUAUUUAUGAGGGUCUUGCAUGUAGAACAUACUUUUGAAAGGUAUGUGAGAUGAUAAUGAAUCUAAUUUUAUGAAUGUGUUAUGAAUGACCUUCAUUACUGUUCAUUUUAUAAUUCUUAAUGUUUGUUUUUGUUCCUGGAAAAGUGAGAAAAAAAUGUAUUUUCAGUAGUGCAUUAUAUAAUAUUGACCAAUUAAAUGUUCUAAAAUUUUUAUCUAAGAAUAUCUGAAUAGUCCCAAGAUAAAAAUUGAUAUAGAUUAAGCAAAUAACAAUAUGUUGAAUGUGGAUUGGGCAUUUCUGUGUUAAACUAUGUCAGGUCAGGAAAAGUUCAAACUUAAUAUGAGUAAAAUUACUAGGCUGGGAAAUUACAUCAUAUAAAAAAAAUUAUACAAACAUUCUCCACAAGUUUACACAUAUAUGCUUAUGAAGAUUUAUUUGAAUAAUAGUGGAGUCAAUUUUGAG